rnacentral:rRNA from 1 species
UGCCAGCAGCCGCGGUAAUACAGAGGGUGCGAGCGUUAAUCGGAAUUACUGGGCGUAAAGAGCGCGUAGGUGGCUAAGUAAGUUGGAUGUGAAAUCCCUGGGCUUAACCUAGGAACUGCAUUCAAAACUACUUGGCUAGAGUAGAGUAGAGGGAAGUGGAAUUUCCGGUGUAGCGGUGAAAUGCGUAGAUAUCGGAAGGAACACCAGUGGCGAAGGCGACUUCCUGGAUUCAUACUGACACUGAGGCGCGAAAGCAUGGGGAGCAAACAGGAUUAGAUA